CGCGUAGGCGGCCUUCUAAGUCGAACGUGAAGUCCCCGGGCUCAACCCGGGAACUGCGUCCGAUACUGGAAGGCUUGAAUCCGGGAGAGGGAUGCGGAAUUCCAGGUGUAGCGGUGAAAUGCGUAGAUAUCUGGAGGAACACCGGUGGCGAAGGCGGCAUCCUGGACCGGCAUUGACGCUGAGGCGCGAAAGCCAGGGGAGCAAACG
rnacentral:rRNA from 1 species